GGACAAUAUUUAUUAGUGCUCCUCCAAACGCCAGAAAAAUGAGAAAAAUGUUUUGUAAGAAAAUAUUUUCCGUAACAAGCCUUGGAUUGAAAAACUUAGAUUAGGCAUUGUUGAGCAUGCUUCUAAUAUUAAUUCCGAUACAUCACCACCGUAGGCAUAGCUGGCUCAACUAAGCUGAAUAGAAAUCGUGAGAUGUAGCACUAGGAAUGCUAAAAGAAAGUAGAGGUUUCAAAUGGGUUGAUUGUCUAAUCUUUCCACUUUGAGAGACAAUUAAAUAAAAAGGAUAAUUUUGUUCCUUUUGAUCAAUUUAAAAUCAAGCUAGGUAUAAUUUGACGGAACAUGACAAAGUUGAUGCCUUGAAGGAAC
rnacentral:misc_RNA from 1 species